rnacentral:rRNA from 1 species
ACGAGUGGCGGACGGGUGAGUAACGCGUAGGAAUCUACCUAGUAGUGGGGGACAACCUGGGGAAACCCAGGCUAAUACCGCAUAUGUUCUACGGAAUAAAGUGUGGGACCUUCGGGCCACACGCUAUUAGAUGAGCCUGCGUUAGAUUAGCUUGUUGGUGGGGUAAAGGCCUACCAAGGCGACGAUCUAUAGCUGUUCUGAGAGGAAGAUCAGCCACACUGGGACUGAGACACGGCCCAG